GCUGGCGGUAGGCCUAACACAUGCAAGUCGAACGGCAGCACAGUAAGAGCUUGCUCUUACGGGUGGCGAGUGGCGGACGGGUGAGGAAUACAUCGGAAUCUACUUUUUCGUGGGGGAUAACGUAGGGAAACUUACGCUAAUACCGCAUACGACCUACGGGUGAAAGCAGGGGAUCUUCGGACCUUGCGCGAUUGAAUGAGCCGAUGUCGGAUUAGCUAGUUGGCGGGGUAAAGGCCCACCAAGGCGACGAUCCGUAGCUGGUCUGAGAGGAUGAUCAGCCACACUGGAACUGAGACACGGUCCAGACUCCUACGGGAGGCAGCAGUGGGGAAUAUUGGACAAUGGGCGCAAGCCUGAUCCAGCCAUACCGCGUGGGUGAAGAAGGCCUUCGGGUUGUAAAGCCCUUUUGUUGGGAAAGAAAUCCAGCCGGCUAAUACCUGGUUGGGAUGACGGUACCCAAAGAAUAAGCACCGGCUAACUUCGUGCCAGCAGCCGCGGUAAUACGAAGGGUGCAAGCGUUACUCGGAAUUACUGGGCGUAGAGCGUGCGUAGGUGGUCGUUUAAGUCUGUUGUGAAAGCCCUGGGCUCAACCUGGGAACUGCAGUGGAAACUGGACGACUAGAGUGUGGUAGGGGGUAGCGGAAUUCUGGUGUA
rnacentral:rRNA from 1 species